ensembl:ncRNA lncRNA:CR46080 long non-coding RNA:CR46080
UCCACAGUCUACGAUUUUCAGUGUUUUCGUUUCGUUCCCUUUAUUUUCUUGCUUUCGGUUUUCAAAAUUCAGACAAUUGACAGCGGCGUCAUUGUUGUUGUUCGUAUUGUUUGUCAUCGCAUUUGUCGCUUUUUGUCUGUCGAUUUUGCCACCUUCCACCUUUCCUCCUGCCGCUUGUUUUGUUGGCGCCGCGUAAUAAAAGUGUCUACGGACCAUUCGCUUGUUGCACGGUGUAACAAAUUGCUCAUGCCCACAUCGCAUCCGAGCAAAGCGGAUUUCAGUGGAGGCAAAGGUGUGGGUCCAGCCACUGGUCAACACUUUGGCGCAAUUUAAAUUUCAUGCAUUUUUCAUUAACGCCAAAAAGGAGGCGACCACUCGACUGGGCUCCUCCAUUACCCGGCGCCAAGGACGUGAACUGUUUCAGGAACGAGUGGCACAGCAGCGGAAAAAGUAGUAGCG